GUGUAAUGUGAUUGGUGGUUAAUGAGUCAAUCAAACAAGUCGUGUUCGAGGGAGUUUGAAAGAAGAAACGCUCGUGCGGGGAAAGCGCUGGACCGAUGGUGAAGCCCUCCGUGUCUCUGCUCCCUCCCUCCUCUCUGCAGCUCUCUGAGGGUUCGUCCUCUCUGCUCUGCCUGCUCUCGGACUAUUCUCCACAGGGGGCGCUGCCGAGCUGGACCAUGGAUGGUGUCAAGGUGAAAGAUGUUGUUCUGACCAGCACAGAAGAUCAGAAGAACGGUGUCUACAGCCGCAGCAGCACACUGACCCUCAGCAAAGAACGCUGGGAAGAGGCCGAGGUGUUCGGCUGUAUCGUCUCUCACCACGACACCACUCAGAUCACCUCGUUCCGAAAGAGUCGCUGUGAAGUCCACUAGAAUUCAAGUGUACACUUUAACACAUGCUUAGCAGUCUGAGGUGGUGUCAGUGGUGUAGCUGUGCUGAAAUAAAGCUUAAAUCUGGAAAUCA